rnacentral:rRNA from 1 species
GACGAACGCUGGCGGCGUGCUUAACACAUGCAAGUCGAACGCGAAAGUUCCCUUCGGGGAAUAAGUAGAGUGGCGCACGGGUGAGUAACACGUAGGUAAUCUACCUUCGGGUGGGGAAUAACCCAGGGAAACUUGGGCUAACACCGCAUGAUGCAGCGGCACCACAUGGUGACAGUUGUUAAAGCGGGGGUAUUUUCGACCUCGCGCCUGAAGAGGAGCCUGCGGCGGAUUAGCUAGUUGGUGAGGUAACGGCUCACCAAGGUCACGAUCCGUAGCCGGCCUGAGAGGGCGGUCGGCCACACUGACACUGACAUACGGGUCAGACUCC